UACGAAGGGGGCUAGCGUUGCUCGGAAUUACUGGGCGUAAAGGGCGCGUAGGCGGAUAUUUAAGUUAGAGGUGAAACUGGCCCGGGGCACUCGAAACCCCGGUAACUUGACCUUUAAGACUGCAUCGCUUGAAUCCGGGAGAGGUGAGUGGAAUUCCGAGUGUAGAGGUGAAAUUCGUAGAUAUUCGGAAGAACACCAGUGGCGAAGACGGCUCACUGGACCGGCAUUGACGCUGAGGUGCGAAAGCGUGGGGAGCAAACAGG
rnacentral:rRNA from 1 species